rnacentral:piRNA from 1 species
UCAACAGGAGAGGAUGGUGUCUAGGCAGC